GCAGAGUUGAGAACCACUGAAUUCUGUUCUGAAAACAUCAGCAAGACCUUUCAUGGAUAUUAUAGGCUUCAGGCUCGAGACAGAGAGGAACCGCCUCUGUGUUUUUCACUGUCGUGUCUCAGUGCUGGGAGUGUACUCCAUGUGGUCAGUGUGUGAUCAAUUUAACUGUGCCUGAGGGUUCUGAGAAGACCUCACAAAUGAAGGUACCUUUGACCAGAGCCACGGAGAGGGGACAAGAGUUUACCCACCAGGCGCUGCAAAGCUGAGGUGGCAGGUCAGGACUUCCAGUGAGAAGGAGGUACUGGUAAAGGAGACUGUUAUUAUGAGCAGCUCCGUCCAGGAGAAGCCAGGGUUCCUGGUCCAAAACAGCACCCUAGGUUCAAAUAGGAAUACCCUGGGGUUGGAGGUGAGGGAAGGGUGGUGGACAGCUCACUCAGCUAUCAGAAGCUGAGGGAUAAGUCCCCUUCCUCCAAUCUGGGCUUUCUUAGCAGCCUUUUGAGCUGGAAUUUGUUUUGUUUUGUUUUGUUUAUGGUGGGACCUACCCACUGUGCAGGGAGGAUCUUAUCAGGUGGCCAAGCUUGUUUUUUGUUUGUUUGUUUUGAGAUGGAGUCUUGCUCUGUUGCCCAAGCUAGAGUACAGUGGUGUGAUCUCGGCUCACUGUAACCUCUGCCUCCUGGGUUCAAGCAAUUCUCCUGCCUUAGCCUCCCACGUAGCUGGGACUACAGGCGUACACCACCAUGCCCAGCUAAUUUUUGUAUUUUUAGUAGAGACGGGGUUUCACCAUGUUGGCCAGGAUGGUCUCGAUCUCCUGACCUCAUGAUCUGCCCAUGUAGGCCUCCCAAUAAGCCUGGUUUUUGGAACAAUACAAAUAAUGAAAAUUUUAAGUACUGACAUUUAUUGAGCUCCUAUUGUACUAUUUUACACACAUCUGGUUUAAGCCACAGCCACUGCACAAGAUUGGCAUUUUUCCCCAUUUCCAGAGGCUGAAACUGAGAUUGAGUUUCAUGUCCAAAGAGUGAGUAACAUGUGUAAAGUCAUGGGGCUAGGAAGUGGUGGAUGGAGUUUCAAACCCAGCUGUGUUUGACCCUGAAGCCAGGGCGCUAAACCACAAUCUUUUUUCUGGCCAGUGUAUCUCACAGGUGAAUCAAUUCACUGGGUUUGGCGCAUUCCCUUGUGGGCUGAGUCACCAUAAGUCAGACUGCCUGAACCUGUUCCUCUCUGGGAGGCUGAUAGAAACCUAAUCUCUAAACUGACAAUGCCAGGGGCAGGACUCUGGACUUUGGUAACCCCAUGAUGGGGUGGCUCCCUACUCUCCCACUCAGAGCUGCAGAUAGCUUUUCUCCAGGACAGCAGGACUCAAGGGUGCUAUGGGGGUUAGUUAUUGCAGACAUCUUGCUUUGCUUUGCUGUAGAGUGGGGUGGCUAAGAGCUUGGGUAGAGGCAGACAGACUGGUUUGAAAUCCAGCCUUUGCACUUCGUAGCUGUGUGACCUUAGCUUGGGCAAGUUUCUUUACCGCUCUGUGCUUCAACUCUCAUCUUUAAAAUGAGGCUGAGAACAGUCUCAUGGUGCUACUGUGAGGAUUACGUGAAAAAACGCGCUUGCACAUAGCAAACCCUCAGCAAUCAUUAGCCUUUAUCAUUGCUGUUGUUGUGACUGGUAUAUAUAUAUAUACUUUUUUUUUUUUUUUGAGUGGAGUUUCACUCUUGUCGCCCAGGCUGGAGUGCAAUGUCGCAAUCUCGGCUCACUGCAACCUCCGCCUCCUGGGUUCAAGUGAUUCUCCUGCCUCAGCCUCCCGAGUAGCUAGGAUUACAGGCAUGCACACCACGCCCGGCUAAUUUUGUAUUUUUAGUAGAGAUGGGGUUUCACCAUGUUGGCCAGGCUGGUCUCAAACUCCUGACCUCAGGUGAUCCACCCGCCUCGGCCUCCCAAAGUGCUGGGAUUACAGGAGUGAGCCACUGCACCCCGCCUGUUGUGAAUAGUCUUAAGGGGAGGCGUAGUGGGAUGUAAUGGGCUGGAGUCCUAGGCCACCACUUUUUAGCCAUGUGACCUUUGAGAUGAACUAUUAAACUUCAUCCCAGAAUCUUUCUAAAUUCUCCAAAGUUAAAGAUGAGAUUUAAUAGCUCAUCUAUUAAAGAUUUCUGGGAUGGCAUUCUUAAAAUUAAGAUUAGCUUCUGUUAAGGAAUUAGAAAACACCAGAGGUAGGGAAUGGUCCCUGUCACAUAUAGACAGCAUUUGCCCUAAACCAUGCUCUGGUCAAGAGGAGGCUGAGGACUUCUGAGCCAUUUGCCUCUCAUCAGAACGUCCUGGGUGUAGUGUCAGAGAGUGGCUGUAUUGGCUUGUCUGAACAGCUAGUGUGUUGCUUUGGUUUGAGCUGAAAGAUUGUUCUAACAAAGGUGCAUGGUGACUAUGGUCAGCAUAGGCGUUAGGAGAGGAGGGGCCGUCUGUGCACACUGUCCUGGGUGUGCCCAUCCUCAGGAGCUCAGCUGUGUAGUGUGUGGCAGCCUGUCCCCCUGACUCCCGCCGGUGAGGUUCACAGAUGGUCAGAGCUCCCAGGUGCGGCUCUAAAGCUCUGGCUCUGCUGCCGUGGCCCCAGGCAACCUGGCUGGCUCAUGGGCUUCAGCUUCUCACAUGUGGAAGAGCACAGAUCAUCCUUCACCCCAGUAUCCCGGUAGCUGACCUCAGACUUUCUGAGUGUGAGUUGACUUGAGUAGCCCUGAGAUGCUGACGUCCUCUGAGUACAUCAACAACAGGGAGUUUCUGGGCUGCAGGCUGAGAACCCGUGUUUGUCACAAGGCGGCCCCACAGAGUUACCACCACUCUAAGGCCCUGCCAGAGCCAGCAACAGAUUAUUCCAGAAGGCACCUGUCUCCCAAUCACCUUCUCUAUCUGGAACAACACCUCCCUCAGGGUUGGGUAAAGUAUUAAAUAUCUGUGCCUUGCAUACACUCACUCAGUGCUCAACAAAUGCUGGUUCUUUCCCAGUUUCUGUAAUCUGUAUGACCUAUCUUGACCAAGAGAUUGUCAUCAUCCUGAGGCCCGGGGCCCAGGCUGCUGUUGCGCUGGCCUCUCUCCCUCACUCUCCAGUAAGCCCUGUCCCAGGCUGGCCUCUCCCUCCGGGGCUGUCUUAUCCACGCUUGGGCUCCAACCACCUUGACCCUUCUCCACCUGUCAGUCACGCCCCAGGUGUUCCCUGAGUCACGCAACAGCUAUAUAGUAGCUCCGCAGACCAACAGCAGGCCGACAGCGUAGCACCUGAGUUCUAGAUCUACCACUGUUCAUGCGGGACCUGGCAUAAAGCAUUCCCACGUCUCGGCCUCCAUUUCCCCAUCUGUGAAACGAGAGCACUGGUCAGCUCUUCACAUGCAGCGUUUGUGGGAUGAAUCCUUCCAUCUGUCCAUCCAUCCCGCCAACAUCCAUGCACAAACAUUUAGCACCUGCUGCAUGCUGUCAGGGACUAUGGCAGGAAAAGAGUUGAAACAGACACGUCCCAGGCCUCCAGCCCCUCACACCACGGAGAGGAAACAGAUGCCCGCAAAGGAGGAGGCACCCCUCAGGGGGCCAGCGCUGCGACACGGUGGAGGCAGGGAGGCCGUCUCUAAGCAGCCUGCGAGUCCCCGCGCUGCACCGUGGCUUUGAGGAGUGGCGGGGGCCGAGGGGCCGGUCUCUCUUCCGGGGGAGAUUCCUCCCCUCACCCCGGCAUUACUCAGCGCCCUGAACUGUCUGCCUCCCUCCAGCCGGCCCUCCUCGUCUUCCUGGAGCGCAGCACAAAGGUCCUGUUGUGGCCGCGGCCCGGGCCGCGGGCGAGCCUCUCUGGAUGGUGGUGACUCAGUCUCUUGCCAUUUCCUUUGUGCGGCUCCGGGGCUCCUCGCUGGGAGCGGAGUGUGUCUGCAGGGCUGGGGGCGGGAGCCGGGACCCACAGCCCGACAGCGAGCCUUUCAUGUGGGCAGGGGGCUUCCCGCACGCAAUGCGAACCUACGCCUGGAGCUUCCCAAAGACAGCGUCCGGCGCAGGAACGCGAGAUGCUGGCCGCCUCGCCUCUGGCCCCCGCGAGCAUCAAAGCGCGUGCCGUCGAGGGGGCACGUGUCCCCCAUCGGGCGCGCCUCUGCUCCUAGUCCCCUGAAUGAACACAUCCUUAUGAAAAGUGGAAAUUAGCCGCCGAAGGGAAGGGCCCGGAGAGCUUGGGAAGCGACCUAGGCUGCCAGCCUCCCGGCGGGUCUUUGGUCCCAGCUCUGAUGACCUGUCAGCAGCCGCAGGACCUGCGCUUAAAGGCGCCUCUCCAGGCCUGGCUCAGGGUGGGGCUCCUCGUGCUCAGCACCCUGGUCAAGGUUAGGGCUGGGUGUGCGCUGGAGGCUUGGAGUGCCAGGGCACCCAGUGAAGAGCGAAUGAAUGAACGAGUGAACACCGGACUGGGGGCCUGCAGACGGUUCUUCGCAGGUUAAUUAGAAGGCCUCUAGCAAGCUGCAGCGGAGGCAUUUCAGGCAUCCUUCAGAGAGGACCCUCGGCCUGGCUCCUAAGGGCCCCUGGUCUGGCUCUCACCCCCUGCUCUGGUGGCAUUUCUGCUCACUCAGCCUUUACCCUUUACACGCCAGCCGCUCUGAACAGUUUAUUCUUCUGGGAGCACAUCAUGUUCUUGCUCACAUCCAGGUUUUGCGUAAGCUGUUCCUGCUGCAAGGAAAACCCUUCCUGUGUCCUCCUCAGGUGAGAGCUCCCGCAGGCAGCUUCUCCCCGGAGUCUGGCGUAAGUGUUCCUCCUCUGCACGCCUCUGAGGACAUUUGCAAAGGUCUGUCAUAGGGCUUACCACCCCGUUACCUGUUUGUUUCCACCAGGGAGUGCGCUGAAGCUGAGAGGGAAUGAGUGAGUGAAUGAAGGGCUUGAGAAAGGAAAUUUCUUCACCCUCCAGUGCCCUCUGGGCAACUCCUGUGCAUCUGUAGGUACCAUUGUGAGGUUACUGCCCUGGACUGGGGAGAGAUCCACACACGCAAGAGUGCAUCUGGCAUCAGUAUGUAAGAGUCAAAACUGACACACAGUUCUUCAUCUCAUGGAAAUGAAAACAUGCAUGGCCGGAAUGAUCUUAUACCUGCUUCUCUUGGGCCAGGUCACCAGGCUGGCCCUGAGAAGUAUGUGAUGGCAUGGAGAAGAAUCCUCACACAUCCUUGCAGUUCUCUAGGAUUUGCAAGGCAUUCCCCCCAUUGCUGGACUCACUGGAUUUGAGUAGGCCUGUCUGCCCCUAUUUUAGAGAUGAGCAUAUACACCUUACAAAAACUGAGUCUUGCUCAAUGUCUGGCAAAGAAGUCUUCCUUUAUCCAACAAUCCUGAGAGUCUAGCGGGUGUUGGGCACCAUAAAGAUGAAUGAGGUGCGGUUCUUGCCACCAGGCAGUGCCCGGGCUUGUCAGGGAGACCCAUGUGGAGCAUGACAAUUGCUACCUUCUUGAUACGGGCAAAAGGAUGUUGAGUCCAGUGGAAGGAGAGGCUUGUCUGGCUGUGAGAUCAGCAAAGUCUUCACAGAAAAGGAGAAUUUUAAAUGGGGCCUUGAAGGGGAAGUGUCUCCUGGAGAUGGAGAGAACAUAGCGAGGAGAGUGCGGUGAGGUGGGGGGUGGCAGGGGAAGCACAUCACUACGCGGUGCUUAGGGCCGAGUCUGAGCCAACCUGGGAGUGGCACUCAGCUCCCCCAGGCCCCCGAGAUGCAUGUUCAGCAGCAUCCAGCGGCCUCCUGUGAAGCGACUGGGAGUCCACAGAGACAACAAAAGCAGAUGUAGUGAUGUGUAAACUUGAAGUUUCUAGAAGUUCCUUUGGGCCCCACCAAAUCUCUGUGGCAAUGAACCAAUCCCACAUGUUCCUGUGGGUAAUGCUCCCAGAGGGCAUGUGACUUUGGGCAUCAUUAUUGGCUGAAAAAGGAAACUGGGGUAGUAGUUAGAGAGUGCUAUGAACUGAAUGUUGUGUGCCUCCCAAAUCUGUACACUGAACUCCAAAUCCCACUGUGGUGGUAUUAGGUGAGGGGGCCUUGGGAGGUCAUUAGGUCCUGAGGGUAAAUCCCUCAUGAAUGGGAUGAGUGCCCUCACACAUGAGACCCCAGAGAGCUCUCUGGCGGUCUUUCUACCAUGUAUGGCUGCAAUGAGAGGUCUGCAGCCUGCACCUGGAAGGAGGCCCUCAAUGAACCUGACCAGACUAGCAUCCUGUUCUCAGACUUCUGGCCUCCCAAACUGUGAGAAACAAGUUUCUGUUGUGUAUAAACCAUCCAAUCUAUGAUAGUUUGUUAUAGUAGCCAAACCGACUAGGACAGAGAGGAUGUAAGGAGCCAGUGGAGGACUCUUUUAAUGGAGAGACUACAGCAUGUCUCAGGCUGAAUGGUCCAGUAGGGAGAGCAAAAACAGUGCCCAUGCAUCACCCUGAGGUCUCACCCAACCCUGCUGGAACUGACUUUAGUGCCCUCUUCCAGUGUUCCCCGCAUGACCUGGUGGGUGCACACCUGGCUGCUUGCAUUCACACCGUCCCUCUCCACUUCUUCCUUCUCCCCAGCUCUCUUCCUGUCAACCCUGGCAUUGCCUUUGUUGGCUACUGAGAGAAGACCAGAAAUAUCCAUCUAGUCAGACUUGCCUGCUCCUGGGAAGAAAACAAAAAUGCAAAGAAAAGGUUCUCAGGGAGAUUGAGCCAACCUGGGAGUGGCCCUCAGCUCCUCCAGUCCCCAGAGACCCAUGCUCUGCAGCAUCCAAGGGGCUCCUGUGAAACUGUUGGGAGGCCAAUGACACUCUGUCCCACGUUGUGGAUCUAUUUUGUGGUCUCUGUAUCCUUCACUGCUUUUUGUGGACAUUAUUGUAUUAGAUUCCUUUGGAAAUGAUGAUCCAGCUAAUGGCCAGUUAGUAGGAAACAUCACGACCCUCCCCCCAAAUUCCAGCCUCUUGCUGAAAGGGUGGGGCCUGGGAAAUCAUAUGGUAUUGCUCCUGGUCACCACAGACCAGUGGUGGCUUUGGGCCAAAUUCUGGCCCAGCCAAUCCCCCCCACCUUUUUUUUUUUUUGAGAGAGAGAAUUUGAGGUAAGAGACACAGAGACUCAGGUUAGGAGGAUGCUUGAACUGAAAGGUCCUGAGACAGCAGGACAGGAGCUAGUACCAUGCAGAACACAGCAGGAGCCACAGGCAAGCCUGAACUGUGGGAGAGAGAAAACGAAGGGCCUUCCAGAGAGGUCCAGUCUGCCAAGAGGAGAAGAGAGUUGACACGCAGAAAGAGUUAGGGGUGACAAGAACCCCCGUAGCCCCUUGAAGGACACAGAGAGGAGAUCUUUUUUGUUCUUUUGUGAUUCAUCCUUUCUCACUUCCUGUCCUUGGAGGUCAACAACAGACCCCUGUAUCCUUUUAAUAAUCCCUCUUUUCAUUUGAAAUUGUUCCAGAGGGUACCUGAUCCUUGUUGCCAGCAUGCCCUGAAUAAGAAAAAUGCUCAAACCAAACACUGAGUCUACUGAGUCUAUGUGAAUUAAUUCUUGGAAUUCCUUGGCUCAAUUCAAUAAACAUUUCAUGCACAAUUUUUGUGUGCCAGGUGCUAGAGGCAUUCUGAGAAAAACUGAGACCCAGGAGCUGUCCUCAGAGAGUCCAGUAAGAUGUGGUCUGAUAAGACAUGUUUCCAUAUACCCAGAAUACAAGGUAGUUUGCUAGGAGCACUGCAAGAGAAACGCAGAUGGAAGGCUGGAGUGUGUACUGCCACUGUGGAAGCAGGAGGGGCUUGAGGGAAGAGGGCCUUCAAGAAUGGGUGGAAUCUAAUAUUGGAAAGGGGAGGAAGAGUGGAAAGUAUAAGAAUCAGAAGUCUGGUUGCAGGAUGGGGCAUGAUAUGGGUGGGACACUGUAAACUGCACAGCGUGGAAGGAAUAUGGAGUUUAGAGGAAUAAUGUUAGAUGAGUCUGUAAGACGGGCUUGACUGGGAUUAUGAAGGGCCUUAAAGGUCAAGCCAAAUUUGUUAUCAUAGAAUCAUAAGAAGGAGAAGAGCCUUAGCUGUUGUCUAGUCUAACUUAGGUAAUUUGGUUCCAGUUCCUCUUAAGGUGGCCACCAUGACAGACUGAAUCUCAAGUACUCAUCUGAGAUACAGUCAUUUCAAUGGUAGUGACUCAGAAUUUACUUUUCUUUUUUUUUACCCCAGCAAAAUAUUUAUUUUAGAAAAUAGGAUUAUAUUAUUUGUUGCUCUCCAACUUGCUUUUUUUGGACAUCUUGGACAUCUUUCUCUACCAGUACAUAUAGUUCCAUUUCCUUCUUUUUAUUUUAUUUACUUUAUUAUUUUUGUAGAGAUGAGGUCUUGCCAUGUUGCCUAGGCUGGUCUGGAACUCCUGGGCUCAAGAGAUCCACUCACCUUGGCCUCCCAAAGUGCUAGGAUUACAGGCGUGAGCCACUGCAGAUAUUUUUAUUUUUUAUUUUCAUUUAUUUCAAUAGUUUUUGGGGAGCACGUGGUUAUUUGAUUACAUGGAUAAGUUCUUUAGUGGUGAUUACCGAGAUUUUGGUGCACCCAUCACCCAAGCAGUGUACACUGUACCCAAUGAGUAGUCUUUUAUCCCUCGUCCUCCUUCCCCGCUCCCCUCACGUCCCCAAAGUACAUUGUAUCUUAUGCCUUUGCAUCCUCAUGAGAUUACUUUUCUAUCUUUAACAACUUAAGAGUUCUUUCCAGAAGAGUCCUCUUACUACGAGGAAGAGUGUUAGAGCACAGGGAACUGGGCCUAGAGAGUCUGCAGCAAAUUGUCUCAAAUAGCAGCUUAAAAAGGUAAGGAACAGAAAAGAAACACUCUCUAUCUAUGUGCUGGCCUCAGGCACAGUGCUUCUAGAUGGUAGAACAUCUGUGAAGUAGAAAUUACAAUCACUUUUCAGGUGAGAAAACAGGAGCUGUAGGGAGGAGUCGGACAGGUCCCCAGGCCCAGCAACUAUACCAGGUGAGGCAGGAAUGUGGCCUCGUGUUGACCAGAUUCCACAGCCACGGGCUUCCAUCCCUCUUCUCUGCUUGCUUUAAGACUAACCACCCUGGCUUCAA
rnacentral:lncRNA from 10 species